rnacentral:rRNA from 1 species
AAAGAGAGCUUGAUUGCAAGACAUACAGGUCGAGCAAGGAUGAAAAUCGGACUUAGUGAUCCGGUGGUUCUGCGGGGAAGGGCCAUCGCUCAACGGAUAAAAGCUACCCUGGGGAUAACAGGCUUAUCUCCCCCAAGAGUCCACAUCGACGGGGAGGUUUGGCACCUCGAUGUCGGCUCAUCACAUCCUGGGGCUGUAGUAGGUCCCAAGGGUUGGGCUGUUCGCCCAUUAAAGUGGUACGCGAGCUGGGUUCAGAACGUCGUGAG